AGUUUUCGAAAGUCGUUCACUUCCUCGUGGUGAAAACUGGAUAACGUUUAUAUUGAUAAACGGCAAAGAAACGACA
rnacentral:ribozyme from 1 species